UACGUAGGGUGCAAGCGUUUGUCCGGAAUUAUUGGGCGUAAAGAGCUCGUAGGCGGUUUUGUCGCGUCUGCUGUGAAAACGCGAGGCUCAACCUCGCGCCUGCAGUGGGUACGGGCAGACUAGAGUUCGGUAGGGGAGACUGGAAUUCCUGGUGUAGCGGUGAAAUGCGCAGAUAUCAGGAGGAACACCGGUGGCGAAGGCGGGUCUCUGGGCCGAUACUGACGCUGAGGAGCGAAAGCGUGGGGAGCGAACAGG
rnacentral:rRNA from 1 species